rnacentral:rRNA from 1 species
CACGGGGGUUGCGAGCGUUGUCCGGGAUUACUAGGCGUAAAGGGCAGGCAGGCGGAUCCAUAAGUUUAUCGUUUAAGGCGUCGGCUUAACCGGCGUAGGGGGUAGAUACUGUGGAUCUGGAAUGCGGUUGGGGAAGACAGAAUUCCUGGUGUAGCGGUGGAAUGCGCAGAGAUCAGGAGGAAUACCGAAGGCGAAGGCAGUCUUCCAAGCCGUUAUUGACGCUCAACUGCGAAGGUGUGGGUAUCAAACAGGAUUAGAUACCUCGGUAGUCCCUGAG